rnacentral:rRNA from 1 species
GAUGAACGCUGGCGGCGUGCCUAACACAUGCAAGUCGAGCGGCAGCGAGGGGUGCUUGCACCCUGUCGGCGAGCGGCGGACGGCUGAGUAACGCGUGGGAACGUGCCCCAAAGUGAGGAAUAACUGCCCGAAAGGGUAGCUAAUACCGCAUAUUAUCUUCGGAUCAAAGGAUUUAUCCGCUUUGGGAGCGGCUCGCGUCGGAUUAGGUAGUUGGUGAGGUAAUGGCUCACCAAGCCGACGAUCCGUAGCUGGUCUGAGAGGAUGACCAGUCAGACUGGAACUGAGACACGGUCCAGACUCCUACGGGAGGCAGCAGUGAGGAAUCUUCCACAAUGGGCGAAAGCCUGAUGGAGCAACGCCGCGUGCAGGACGAAGGCCUUCGGGUUGUAAACUGCUUUUAUAAGUGAGGAAUAUGACGGUAACUUAUGAAUAAGGAUCGGCUAACUACGUG